rnacentral:rRNA from 1 species
UGGCGGACGGGUGAGUAAUGUCUGGGAAACUGCCCGAUGGAGGGGGAUAACUACUGGAAACGGUAGCUAAUACCGCAUAAUGUCUACGGACCAAAGCGGGGGACCUCCGGGCCUCGCGCCAUCAGAUGAACCCAUAUGGGAUUAGCUAGUAGGUGAGGUAACGGCUUACCUAGGCGACGAUCCCUAGCUGGUCUGAGAGGAUGACCAGCCACACUGGAACUGAGACACGGUCCAG